AUUGAACGCUGGCGGAAUGCUUUACACAUGCAAGUCGAACGGCAGCACGGGUGCUUGCACCUGGUGGCGAGUGGCGAACGGGUGAGUAAUACAUCGGAACGUACCCAGUCGUGGGGGAUAACGUAGCGAAAGUUGGGCUAAUACCGCAUCCGUCCUGAGGGAGAAAGCGGGGGACCGUAAGGCCUCGCGCGAUUGGAGCGGCCGACGGCGGAUUAGCUAGUUGGUGGGGUAAAGGCCUACCAAGGCGACGAUCCGUAGCGGGUCUGAGAGGACGGCCCGCCACACUGGAACUGAGACACGGUCCAGACUCCUACGGGAGGCAGCAGUGGGGAAUUUUGGACAAUGGGCGAAAGCCUGAUCCAGCCAUUCCGCGUGAGUGAAGAAGGCCUUCGGGUUGUAAAGCUCUUUCGGCAGGGAAGAAACGGCUUGGGAUAAUACCCCGGGCUAAUGACGGUACCUGAAGAAGAAGCACCGGCUAACUACGUGCCAGCCGCCGCGGUAA
rnacentral:rRNA from 1 species